rnacentral:rRNA from 1 species
GAUGAACGCUGGCGGCGUGCCUAAUACAUGCAAGUCGAGCGAGAAGCUUGGAAAUGACGCUUCGGUUGAUUUUCCAAGCGGACAGCGGCGGACGGGUGAGUAACGCGUAGGCAACCUGCCCCUGACAGAGGGAUAGCCAUUGGAAACGAUGAUUAAAACCUCAUGACACCGUAGUAGCACAUGCUACAUCGGUCAAAGAUUUAUCGGUCAGGGAUGGGCCUGUGUCUGAUUAACUGGUUGGUGAGGUAACGGCUCACCAAGGUGACGAUCAGUAGCCGACCUGAGAGGGUGAUCGGCCACAUUGGAACUGAGACACGGUCCAAACUUCUACGGAAGGCAGCAGUAGGGAAUCUUGCACAAUGGGCGAAAGCCUGAUGCAGCAACGCCGCGUGAAAGGAUGAAAGGCCUUCGGGGUUGUAAAACUUUCUGUUUCUAAAGGGAAA